GAUGAACGCUGGCGGCGUGCCUAAUACAUGCAAGUCGAGCGGACGGACGCGACUCUUGCUUCUCUGAUGUUAGCGGCGGACGUGUGAGUCACACGUGUAUACCCUACCUAUAAGUCUGGUAUCACUUCGGGAAACCGGAUCUUACACCGGAUAAUAUUUUGAACCGCAUGGUUCAAAAGUGAAUUACGGCCUUUCUGUCACUUAUCGAUGGUUCCCCGCUGCAUUGGCUAGUUGGUAAGGUCAAGGCUUACCAAGGCUACGAUGCGUAGCCGAACUGACAGGGUGAUCAGCCACACUGGAACGGAGACACGGUACAGAGGCAUACGGGAGGGAGCAGGAGGGAAUCUGCAGCAAGGGGCGAAAGACUGACGGAGAAACGCCGAGUGAGUGAUGAGGGUCGUCGGAUCGGAAAACACGGUUAUUAGGGAGGAACAUAUGUGUGCGUAACAGUGAACGUCUUGACGGUACAUAAGGAGAAAGCCACGGCUAACUUAGUG
rnacentral:rRNA from 1 species